rnacentral:ribozyme from 1 species
GUUUUUUUUUUUUUUUUUUUUUUUUUUUUUUUUUUUUUUU